AGCUGCGCCCCGCCCACCCCGGCUCUCCUUAGGCCCCGCAGCUCCGGGUCCCCCCGCGGUGGCCGCGGCCCCGGGUGGCGGGUACCGGCGGUAGCGAGCCCCGCGCCCCCCCCCGGCUGAGGCAGGAGCGGAGCCGGCGAGGGCCCAGGCGCACCCCCCCGUCCCCCGCUCGGUCUAGCGCGGCGUUUGGAACAGAACGCGGCACACACGGAAAAAGGUCUCCCUAAGUGACCGAGUCACUUCAGAAGGAUCUUCUUUCUUCUACAGUCUAGAACCUCUAACCAAGGUCUUCCCCCAUGCUUGGAAGGGAAACAAUCACCAAGCACAGGAGACUCGUCGUGCGCAGAGCGGUCCGCAAUCUGCUUCUGCGAAACAAUGCGGUAGAUCUCUGCAAUGAGAACACACUGCUCAGAGCACAGAAGGACGUGGCCUCCAACACAGCACACGUCAGAGCAAGCUGUCAGAGUUGAUGCAAGAACCCAAGAAACAAGAAGAUUUUAACGUGAGAGCUGUGAAAGGGGAUCUAGUCUCAGCAGCUGUGGCAUGUAACAUCUGGCUGGCUUUCCAGCUCUGUAAUGGACACGUCAGCUCUGUCUGGAAAAGUUAUUAAGAUUCCUUACUGUCUUCCGCCACAGGGCUUCCUAUCACGUUCUUGUUCAAUGACUCCAUGAACGUGGGUAUUAUUAAAAAGCUUUUUAAAUAAGAAAAGAGCAGGAAUCAUACAAUCAUGGAAUAGUUUGGUUUGGAAGGGACCUUAAAGCUCCUCCAGCUCCAACCCCUGCCACGGGCAGGGACACCUUCCACUAGAGCAGGUUGCUCCAAGCCCCUGUGUCCAACCUGGCCUUGAACACUGCCAGGGAUGGGGCAGCCACAGCUUCUCUGGGCAUCCUGUGCCAGCGCCUCAGCACCCUCACAGGGAAGAGCUGCUGCCUCAGAGCUCAUCUCAAUCUCCCCUCUGGCAGGUUAAAGCCAUUCCCCUUGUCCUGUCCCUCCAUCCCUUGUCCAAAGCCCCUCUCCAGGUUUCCUGGAGCCCCUUUAGGCACUGGAGCUGCUCUAAGGUCUCCCCUUCAGGAGCCUUCUCUUCUCCAGGCUGCCCCAGCCCAGCUCUCUCAGCCUGGCUCCAGAGCAGAGCUGCUCCAGCCCUCGCAGCAGCUCCGGGGCUUCCUCUGGCCUCGCUCCAGCAGCUCCACGUCCCUCUUGUGCUGCUGCCCCAGAGCUGGAUCAGGACUGCAGGGGGGUCUCCCCAGAGCACAGCAGAGGGGCAGGAUCCCCUCCCUGACCUGCUGCUCACGCUCUGGGGAUCAGCCCAGCACAUGGGGGGUUCUGGAUCACAGGGAGAAUCCUCAGUUCUAAAGUA